AAAACAUGGAAGCUGAUGUCAAAUAUGUCCUCUUUCCCUACUCACUGGAUUUGGUUGCUUCACCACUUGUCUUCAAGCCUGGGAUUCCCUUUUCUAUCAAGGUACAAGUCAAGAAUGUGGCUGGCCAUGUUGUAAGGGGGGUUGCUGUACUCUUGAAAACAAAAAAUUUACAGAAAACAAAAAAGACAAACCUGAAUGUAAGACAAAGGAAAACAAAUUCUAAUGGAGUAGCCUCAUUUGCCAUUAACGUUCCCUCUGAUGUCACCACACUGGAUUUUUAUGUCAGAACGAAUGACCCAGAUGUUCCAAAAGAAUAUCAAGCCAGAAAAGACUAUCAAGCAGUGGCCUAUGCAGGUCAGAGCCAAAGUUUCCUUUCCCUCAGCCGGCCAGAUAGUGACAAGAAUCUGCUGGUAGGAGAACAUCUGAACAUAAUUGUCACUCCUAAAAGUCCUUAUUUGGACAGGAUAACACACUACAAUUAUCUGAUUUCAUCUAGAGGAAAAAUAAUACACUUUGGUACAAUGAAGAAACUCCCAGGUUCCCCCUCCCAACCGCUCAACCUUCUUGUGACUUAACACAUGGCUCCUGCAUCCUGUAUCUUUGUCUUCUUCUUUGUCAGAGAAGAUCAGAGGACAGAAUUGGUGUCUGACUCAGUUUGCCUAAAGGUUGAAGAAAAAUGUGGCAACCCCCUCCAAAUUCAUCUGUCUCCAAGCAGAGAUUCACAUC